UGGGGAAUAUUGGACAAUGGGCGCAAGCCUGAUCCAGCCAUGCCGCGUGAGUGACGAAGGCCUUAGGGUUGUAAAGCUCUUUUGGCGGGGAAGAUAAUGACGGUACCCGCAGAAUAAGCUCCGGCUAACUUCGUGCCAGCAGCCGCGGUAAUACGAAGGGAGCUAGCGUUGUUCGGAAUCACUGGGCGUAAAGCGCACGUAGGCGGACUUUCAAGUCAGGGGUGAAAUCCCGGGGCUCAACCUCGGAACUGCCUUUGAUACUGUUGGUCUCGAGUCCGGAAGAGGUGAGUGGAAUUCCUAGUGUAGAGGUGAAAUUCCUAGAUAUUAGGAAGAACACCGGUGGCGAAGGCGGCUCACUGGUCCGGUACUGACGCUGAGGUGCGAAAGCGUGGGGAGCAAACA
rnacentral:rRNA from 1 species